GUCCGGGUGGCUCAGUGGUCAGAGCGCCGGCCGAAUAAGCAGGAGACCAGGGUUCGAAUCCCGGUCUGGCACA